UAUGCGAUUCAUACCAAUACGAUUUGAUCCUGAUAACUAUCACACGAUCUAAAAAAUUUACAUCAGUACAUGACAUCUUCUCUACGUUAAAAGCCACAUUAGUCAAAGGUGUGUUUCGAUGAAUCUGAAACGAAGUAUAUUUAACUGAGCAUAUCUUAAGCCGUUCAACAAUGGGUACUGCUUAGUUUCUGUUGAAAACAAGUUGUGAUUCUUAAUCUUCGCAAACAAAUACUCCGCGGCGGACGAAACCUCUUCUUAUGAGACACCUAUGGUACAGUCUUGCACAGCUCCUUCUCUUUCCCCUGCUGAGUCGCAAACUCGAUAGCUUCUUCUGUCGAUUCAUCGUGCGAGGCUCUUGCCGACCCUGCGUACAGCACAGGGAUCAAACCGCGGAAGAUAAGACUAUGCCUCGCAGGUGAUUCGUCGCUGCAAGACCAGUCGAGCAAGUCGGUUUCGAUCUAAAAUAGCAGACGGAGAAGACGAAGAGAAAGGGAUCGAGAUUCGAUUUUGGGAAAAUUAGAAUUUGUCAUGCGUAUCUGACGUGGCGGAGAGCUGUUCUCUGAUUGGAUGAUUUAAUUAUCCUACGUGGACACACUCUCUGAUGCUCAUAUAACCCUUUUAGUAUAGGUUAGAUUAUUCUAAAGAUGUCUAUGCGAUUCAUACCAAUACGAUUUGAUCCUGAUAACUAUCACACGAUCUAAAAAAUUUACAUCAGUACAUGACAUCUUCUCUACGUUAAAAGCCACAUUAGUCAAAGGUGUGUUUCGAUGAAUCUGAAACGAAGUAUAUUUAACUGAGCAUAUCUUAAGCCGUUCAACAAUGGGUACUGCUUAGUUUCUGUUGAAAACAAGUUGUGAUUCUUAAUCUUCGCAAACAAAUACUCCGCGGCGGACGAAACCUCUUCUUAUGAGACACCUAUGGUUGCAAUGAACGAGGUAGUGAUCACACUUUGCUUCACUUACUACUUUGUGUUGAGAAGUGAUUCAUUGAGUAAAACCUGCAAAUGAAAGAAUGGAAGUCAGUGAGAAGAAGAAAAACUAAAAGGCAAGAAGAAGAAGAAGUUUCAAAUCAAUCCAAAGUCAAAGCUGAAGAUGAUGAACGUGAACCAGAUCAUAACAAGUCGUUAGUAAGAGUUAUUGUUUGUUAAGGAGUUGUUGGAAUAGUUAAGUUGUGGGUGUAAAGAUUGGUCUAGAGACUAGAGGUAUGGAUUAGGUGUAAGUAAGCAAGAAAACAUGAUUAGAGUGAAUAAGAAGCCUACUAUAAAGAUGGGGGUUAUUGGAAGAUAAAAUUGUGUAGAGUUUGUGAACUUUAAAAGUUACUUGGAUAAGAAAAUAUAUAUACACUAACUUACAAAAUUUGAUCAAACUUUUGUAAAUUGCUACUUCAUGAAUAUUUUUUCGAAU
rnacentral:lncRNA from 1 species